UGGGGAAUAUUGCACAAUGGGCGCAAGCCUGAUGCAGCCAUGCCGCGUGUGUGAAGAAGGCCUUCGGGUUGUAAAGCACUUUCAGCGAGGAGGAAGGUGGUGAACUUAAUACGUUCAUCAAUUGACGUUACUCGCAGAAGAAGCACCGGCUAACUCCGUGCCAGCAGCCGCGGUAAUACGGAGGGUGCAAGCGUUAAUCGGAAUUACUGGGCGUAAAGCGCACGCAGGCGGUUUGUUAAGUCAGAUGUGAAAUCCCCGGGCUCAACCUGGGAACUGCAUUUGAAACUGGCAAGCUAGAGUCUCGUAGAGGGGGGUAGAAUUCCAGGUGUAGCGGUGAAAUGCGUAGAGAUCUGGAGGAAUACCGGUGGCGAAGGCGGCCCCCUGGACGAAGACUGACGCUCAGGUGCGAAAAGCGUAGGGAGCAAACAGGAUUAGAUACCCUGGUAGUCCACGCUGUAAAACGAUGUCGAUUUUGGAGGUUGUGCCCUUGAGGCGUGGCUUCCGGAGCUAACGCGUUAAAUCGACCGCCUGGGGAGUACGGCCGCAAGGUUAAAACUUAAAUGAAUU
rnacentral:rRNA from 1 species